rnacentral:rRNA from 1 species
GAUGAACGCUAGCGGGAGGCUUAACACAUGCAAGUCGAGGGGCAGCAUAGGGUAGCAAUACUCUGAUGGCGACCGGCAAACGGGUGAGUAACGCGUAUGCAACCUACCCUGUACAGGGGGAUAACCCGGAGAAAUUCGGACUAAUAUCCCGUAAUAAUAUCCGGAGGCAUCUUUGGAUAUUUAAAGUUCCGACGGUACGGGAUGGGCAUGCGUAACAUUAACUGGUUGGUAAGGUAACGGCUUACCAAGGCUAUGAUGUUUAGGGGUCCUGAGAGGGUGGUCCCCCAACUGGUACUGAGACACGGACCAGACUCCUACGGGAGGCAGCAGUGAGGAAUAUUGGUCAAUGGGCGCAAGCCUGAACCAGCCAUCCCGCGUGCAGGAAGACGGCCCUAUGGGUUGUAAACUGCUUUUCCAGGGAGAGAAACUUACGCACGUGUUGCGUGACUGACGGUACCCUGGGAAUAAGCAUCGGCUAACUCCGUG